AUUGAACGCUGGCGGCGUGCUUAACACAUGCAAGUCGAUCGGUAACAGGUGUAGCAAUACAUGCUGACGAGAGGCGGACGGGUGAGGAACGCUUGGGAAUCUGCCUAUCAGCGGGGGACAACCCGGGGAAACCCGGGCUAAUACCGCAUACGCUCUACGGAGGAAAGCCGGGGACCGCAAGGCCUGGAACUGAUAGAUGAGCCCAAGUCGGAUUAGCUAGUUGGCGGGGGAACGGCCCACCAAGGCGACGAUCCGUAGCUGGUCUGAGAGGACGAUCAGCCACACCGGAACUGAGACACGGUCCGGACUCCUACGGGAGGCAGCAGUGGGGAAUAUUGGACAAUGGGCGAAAGCCUGAUCCAGCGACGCCGCGUGGGUGAAGAAGGCCUGCGGGUUGUAAAGCCCUUUCGGUAGGGACGAAAGCUCUCGACCUAACACGUCGGGAGGUUGACUUAACCUACAAGAGAAGCACCGGCUAACUCUGUGCCAGCCGCCGCCGUAAAAC
rnacentral:rRNA from 1 species